AUUGAACGCUGGCGGCAUGCCUUACACAUGCAAGUCGAACGGCAGCACAGGUGCUUGCACCUGGUGGCGAGUGGCGAACGGGUGAGUAAUACAUCGGAACAUGUCCUGUAGUGGGGGAUAGCCCGGCGAAAGCCGGAUUAAUACCGCAUACGAUCUACGGAUGAAAGCGGGGGACCUUCGGGCCUCGCGCUAUAGGGUUGGCCGAUGGCUGAUUAGCUAGUUGGUGGGGUAAAGGCCUACCAAGGCGACGAUCAGUAGCUGGUCUGAGAGGACGACCAGCCACACUGGGACUGAGACACGGCCCAGACUCCUACGGGAGGCAGCAGUGGGGAAUUUUGGACAAUGGGCGAAAGCCUGAUCCAGCAAUGCCGCGUGUGUGAAGAAGGCCUUCGGGUUGUAAAGCACUUUUGUCCGGAAAGAAAUCCUUGGCCCUAAUACGGUCGGGGGAUGACGGUACCGGAAGAAUAAGCACCGGCUAACUACGUG
rnacentral:rRNA from 1 species